AUGUACAAUUAAUUUAAAUGUGUGAGAUGUAAGCUAUGUGUAAAUGUGAAUAGCAACCAUAAUUUACACGGAGUAACAUAUAUUGUUAUAAAUACAUCUUCAUCUUUGCCUCGUAAUGAGUACAUUAAUGACAAUGUCUAUAUUACAUAAAUUUGGUCUCACCACGAGGAGGUGGCUAUAUAAUCGAGAUCCAGACCUUAGGGGCCCCUAAACAACGAA
rnacentral:misc_RNA from 1 species